UAGCAAUACGGAUGGCGCACGGCGCACGGGUGCGUAACACGUGGGCAAUCUGCCCUCGGAUGGGGGAUAACUCGCCGAAAGGCGAGCUAAUACCGCAUGACAUUCCCAGGACUCCGGUCCAGGGACUCAAAGGCCGCAAGGCCGUCUGAGGAGGAGCCCGCGCCCGAUUAGCUAGUUGGUGAGGUAACGGCUCACCAAGGCUUUGAUCGGUAGCCGGUCUGAGAGGAUGGCCGGCCACACUGGAACUGAGACACGGUCCAGACUCCUACGGGAGGCAGCAGUGGGGAAUAUUGCGCAAUGGGCGAAAGCCUGACGCAGCGACGCCGCGUGGGGGAUGAAGCUUUUCGGAGUGUAAACCCCUUUCGACCCGGACGAAUGACCCGCAAGGGUUUGACGGUACGGGUAUAAGAAGCCCCGGCUAACUACGUGCCAGCAGCCGCGGUAAUACAUAGGGGGCCAGCGUUGCUCGGAAUUACUGGGCGUAAAGGGUUCGUAGGUGGUGCGGCAAGUUGGAAGUGAAAUCUCUGGGCUUAACCCAGAGGCUGCUUUCAAAACUGCCGCGCUCGAGUGCGAGAGAGGUCAGUGGAAUUGCAGGUGUAGCGGUGAAAUGCGUAGAUAUCUGCAGGAACACCCGUGGCGAAGGCGGCUGACUGGAUCGCAACUGACACUGAGGAACGAAAGCUAGGGGAGCAAACAGGAUUAGAUACCCUGGUAGUCCUAGCCCUAAACCAUCGGAACUUGGGGUGGCCCGCGUAGGCGGGUCGUCCCGUAGCUAACGCGUUAAGUUCCGCGCCUGGGGAGUACGGUCGCAAGACUGAAACUC
rnacentral:rRNA from 1 species